AGCAGCAUGGUGUGUGGCGCACGCGGGGCUUUCUUGACCGUUAGUGAAACUGUCACUCCGAGGUCCUCGUUCGAUUCGAGGUGCUGCUC